CUGGUGUACCAGUUGUUCUGCCAAGGGCAUUGCUGGGUAGCUAUGUAGGGAAGGGAUAAACGCUGAAAGCAUCUAAGUGUGAAGCCCACCUCAAGAUGAGAUUUCCCAUUUCUUUAAGAAAGUAAGACCCCUGAGAGAUGAUCAGGUAGAUAGGUUGGAAGUGGAAGGCUAGUGAUAGUUGGAGCGGACCAAUACUAAUCGGUCGAGGACUUAACCAAA
rnacentral:rRNA from 1 species